rnacentral:rRNA from 1 species
CGUUAGUUGGAACCCACACCUAGUGCCCACCGUUUACGGCAUGGACUACCAGGGUAUCUAAUCCUGUUUGCUACCCAUGCUUUCGCUCCUCAGCGUCAGUUUCAGUCCAGAGCGGCGCCUUCGCCACCGGUGUUCCUCCUAAUAUCUGCGCAUUUCACCGCUACACUAGGAAUUCCCCGCUCCCCUCCUGAACUCAAGUCACAGCAGUAUCGGAUGGCCUCUCCGGGUUGAGCCCAGAGUUUUAACACCCGACUUACUAAACCGCCUACGAGCUCUUUACGCCCAAUAAAUCCGGACAACGCUUGGAGCCUACGUGUCACCGCGGCUGCUGGCACGUAGUUGGCCGCUCCUUCUUCUGCAGGUACCGUCAUUUUCGUUCCUGCUGAAAGCGGUUUACAGCCCGAAAGGCUUCAUCCCCGC